rnacentral:rRNA from 1 species
UACGUAGGGGGCGAGCGUUGUCCGGAUUUACUGGGCGUAAAGGGUGAGUAGGCGGUUAUAUAUGUCAGGUGUAAAAAGCUAUGGCUUAACCAUAGUAAGCACUUGAAGCUGUAUGACUUGAGUGCAGGAGAGGUAAGCGGAAUUCCUAGUGUAGCGGUGAAAUGCGUAGAUAUUAGGAGGAACACCGGUGGCGAAGGCGGCUUACUGGACUGUAACUGACGCUGAGUCACGAAAGCGUGGGUAGCAAACAGGAUUAGAUACCCUGGUAGU